GUGGGGAAUCUUGCGCAAUGGGCGAAAGCCUGACGCAGCCAUGCCGCGUGAAUGAUGAAGGUCUUAGGAUUGUAAAAUUCUUUCACCGGGGACGAUAAUGACGGUACCCGGAGAAGAAGCUCCGGCUAACUUCGUGCCAGCAGCCGCGGUAAUACGAAGGGGGCUAGCGUUGCUCGGAAUUACUGGGCGUAAAGGGCGCGUAGGCGGACAGCUUAGUCAUAGGUGAAAGCCCAGGGCUCAACCUUGGAAUUGCCUUUGAUACUGGCUGUCUUGAGUUUGGGAGAGGUGAGUGGAACUCCGAGUGUAGAGGUGAAAUUGGUAGAUAUUCGGAAGAACACCAGUGGCGAAGGCGACUCACUGGCCCAAUACUGACGCUGAGGCGCGAAAGCGUGGGGAGCAAACAGGAUUAGAAACCCCUGUAGUCC
rnacentral:rRNA from 1 species